AUGUCGGCGAGGAGCUCCUUGUUGCGGCCGUGGCAGUGCGCUUGUGCGGCUGCACCUGUGUUGGGGAACAGCGUGUUGUCGUGGCCGUCGUCCAGUGCCUCGGCGAGCUCAUCGUCGCGGCCUUCGUCGUGUGCCUCGGCGAGCUCGUCGUCGCGGCCGUCGUCGUGUGCCUCGGCGGCUGCGCAUGGCAGCGACGAGGCAUGUAAUCUGGAUGCCGGGCCUGGCUUGAUUCCCGCUAAGUUAGCUUAUUUGUUCCCGUAUAUCACUCCCCUUGUAAAUUGGACGUGGGUUGUUACUUUUUUUUUUGAGGAAGGGACGUGGGGUUACCUGUAG
rnacentral:rRNA from 1 species